rnacentral:lncRNA from 1 species
AAAUACUAGAAUUUUGAGUAGUGAUGAUAGUGGAAUCAGAGAAACACUGAUCAUAUGGAUUUGCUAUUCCAAAAUCAGUUUGUUGGUAAUAUGGCAUCCCGAUAUCAGACAAGAGGGGUUGCUCUGAUGGUAAGCAACCCCUACUUCCAACCGAGAAGUUGUGAGUUCGAGUCUUCCCAAGAGCAAGGUGGGAAGUUCUUGGAGUGAAGGAUGUCCGGGGUCUAUUUGGAAACAGACUCUCUAUCCAAGGGUAGGGGUAAGGUCUACGUACAUACUACCAUCCCCAGACUCAGACCCCACUAAGUGAGAUUAUACUGAGUUGUUGUUGUUGCAUGGCAUUCCGAUAUCCAUCCACUGAUCAGCAGGUGAAGUUGGGAUUGUGUUGUUAUA